rnacentral:rRNA from 1 species
AAGAUACCCAGGUAGUCCAUGCCGUAAACGUUGGGAACUAGAUGUGGGGACCAUUCCACGGUCUCCGUGUCGCAGCUAACGCAUUAAGUUCCCCGCCUGGGGAGUACGGCCGCAAGGCUAAAACUCAAAGGAAUUGACGGGGGGCCCGCACAAGCGGCGGAGCAUGCGGAUUAAUUCGAUGCAACGCGAAGAACCUUACCAAGGCUUGACAUAUACCGGAAAAGGCUGGAAACAGUCUCCCCGCAAGGUCGGUAUACAGGUGGUGCAUGGUUGUCGUCAGCUCGUGUCGUGAGAUGUUGGGUUAAGUCCCGCAACGAGCGCAACCCUCGUCGUAUGUUGCCAGCACGUAAUGGUGGGAACUCAUAUGAGACUGCCGGGGUCAACUCGGAGGAAGGUGGGGAUGAGGUCAAAUCAUCAUGCCCCUUAUGUCUUGGGCUUCACGCAUGCUACAAUGGCCGGUACAAAGGGCUGCAAUACCGCGAGGUGGAGCGAAUCCCAAAAAGCCGGUCUCAGUUCGGAUUGAGGUCUGCAACUCGACCCC